CCCUUAGAUGUCCUGGGCCGCACGCGCGUUACACUGAUGCAUUCAACGAGCUUAUAACCUUGGCCGAGAGGCCUGGGCAAUCUUUUUAACGUGCAUCGUGAUAGGGAUAGAUUAUUGAAAUUAUUAAUCUUGAACGAGGAAUUCCUAGUAAACGCAGAUCAUCAAUCUGCAUUGAUUACGUCCCUGCCCUUUGUACACACCGCCCGUCGCACCUACCGAUUGGAUGGUCCGGUGAAGCCUCGGGAUUGUGGUUCUUGCCGCUUUAUUGUAGCGUGACCGCGAGAACUUGUCUAAACCUUAUCAUCUAGAGGAAGGUGAAGUCGUAACA
rnacentral:rRNA from 1 species